GGAAGGUCCAGCAGAGCGCAUGAUAAGAAAUGUGAAAAAUAACAAUAAGCACAAAAAGCAAGGUGAUAAAAGGGAAUUCGCCGUGUGAAGACUAUAACGUUGAUAACUGUGUGGGCUGUUUUGCGGAUGCAGUACCUACCUCUCUGUCACCUAGGAUACGCUGAGGCCUGUGAUGAAGGGAUGGAUGAUGGAGGGAUGGAA